UACAUCUGCUACACCAUCCUGAACAUAACAAUCUUUUCUGAUUUUGGCUUCUAAGCAGGUUUCAGGCCUGGUUAGUGUUUGGAUAGAAGACUACCAAGGAACUCCAGUUAGAGAUGGGA
rnacentral:rRNA from 1 species